UCUUGAUUGAAAUGAACAGGAAAGAACCCCAACCCCUUCCCUUCUUGUCAGUCUUUACUUGCAAAAUGGGUUGAAUCCAGCAGUCCGACGUAACAAUGUUAUUAAGUUCCACUCUGUGUCUACUCAUCAAAUGUACCGCAGUGUAAGAGGUGUCCCACAUUGAAAGAGUGAUGAGCCUUGUGGAAGCGAGGCGCCUAGCGACAAUAAAACUGCCCUAAUCUAAUGAGUAGGGAAAAUAAAGCGAGUGGUGAGUGCCGCUCGCCGCUCCCCGCUCUGGCUCUAUAUUGUGCGCAAAAAUUCGUAGAGGUGUAAUAGGCUGGCCGAUUGUAGACGCUGCUUACUUUGCAGAACUCGCCUAGGGGGGCCUAACUAUUUGACCCACCUCUGAAAUCCAGGCCAAGUUUAUUCUAGUGAUUUGAGCCAUAGGUACCUGGCAGGAGAUCAAGGCUUCUAAAACAUUUGCUAUCCUUGUUACCGGAUUAUGAGCAAAAGAAAACAAAAAAGGAUUUAUAGGACUAACUUCAAUUCAACCAAAGAAGCAAGGAGAUGCCUUAUUUUAACGGUGAAGCGUGUUUUCAGGCAUGGAUUGGGCAAAGUAGCUAUCAGAUAAAUAGUUUCUUCAAAUAAGUCAUAAGAAUAUUUUUUAUAUAAACAAAAGAGUUGCUUUUUUUUUUUAUUUGUUGUAUUCCUGGGCGAAAGUGGUCCUUCCACCUAUAACUGGCUUCGAAUCGACUAGGAAUUAAAAGCAUUAAUGCUAGUAGAAGAAGCCGACGGCCUUGUCUGCAACUGCGGAAUCAAAGGUCAGUCCUCUCCUCAAAUGUUGUUUGUUUUUUUUUUUUAAUCUGUGAUCAUCGUACGCUAUGGAUUUGAUGAUGAUGCCCUUUUCUCCCAUGAGACAUCAGCAAAUGGGGGUCUUUUACUUUUGCGUUCAAAAAUUUCAUCCGUCGAUUUGGAUUGUGGCUGUAAAGUGUAGCCCCCGGCAGUAAAGAUUAGCGGGUCCCAAAUAUAUGAGAAGAAUACACCGACGUCUAUUGCAAACCAA